GCUUGCGUCAUCAUGACUAGAAAGAUGGGAUCCCCCGCCGUUCCCAAUUUUGAUCCCCAACGGUAAGCAUGUCGUCUGCUGUCAUGAUUGUCGCCGCAGCGGUUUCAGUCCCAUUUAUCGCCAUUCUCCUGCACAAGGCGAGAAAGCACAGGAAACCGUACCGUAAAAAAGUAAUAUCCAUUUUCACAAGGUUCCCUAGCCCUGGGGUAACGAAGACCCGCCUCAUACCGUGCUUGGGUAAAGAGGGAGCGGCUUAUGCACAACGCAGAAUGACAGAACACAUCUUGGAGCGAAUGAAAAAAUACUGCAGACAUCAUGACGACACUGACAUAGCUGUUUGGUACAAUGGUUCCACCGAGGACAAUAUGCGAUACUGGCUGAUCCCCAAAUCAGGGGGAGAUAACUUCAUGUACUUCUUCCAACAGCCACCAGGUGGCCUCGGAGAAAAGUUAAGGGAAGCAGCUUUGUCUGGGUUUAGAGGAAACAGAGAGUAUGUAGUAAUAAUAGGUUCCGACAUACCAGGGCUUGAACCUGGGGUGAUGGAGGAAGCGUUUGAUGCCCUGGGGGGUGGGACUGAGAUGGUGCUGGGUCAGGCAGAGGAUGGGGGUUACUUCCUGGUGGGCUUCUCCAAGGCUGCUGUCCACAAGAUAGGAGCUGUUUUUGAUGGGAUCGACUGGGGAACAGAGAAAGUGUUCCAACAGCAGUGUGCUAAAGCCAAGGAACUCGACAUCAAUCUCAAGAUUCUAAACACAAAACUGUCUGAUGUGGACACGGAGGAAGAUUUGUCAGUGUUAGAGGGGGCCCUACAGAUUCAUCGCCAGAGUUUGACGGACAGGAAGUGGAGUGUGAUAGUCCCGACAAUGAAUGAGGAGGAAAACAUCAUCAGAACACUGCAGACGGUCUGCCAGAACUGUAGCAGUGAGGCCAGAAUACAGGAAAUAAUUGUGUGUGAUGGCGGCAGCAAGGAUAACACAGUUCAAAAGGUCGAGGAUUUCAACUCAAACACGGAGUAGAGGGAGCCACAGGUGACUUCCUGUUGUUUCUGCACAGCGACACCCACUUGCCGUCAAACUUUGAUGUCGCUGCAGAAUCUUGCCUGAAGAGGCCAGGGAAUGUGGCGGGAUCAUUUGCGUGGAGCGUGGACACUGAUAGAAGCGAUGGUUGGUUUUUCAACCUGGAGAUGAGAAUUUUAAAAUACUUCACCGACAGGAGGAUACAGAAUCAUGAAUUGCCAUUUGGAGAUAAUGCCAUGUUUACAACCCGCCAUGUUUACGACCAGAUAGGAGGAUUCCAGGAAGUCUAUCUAUUAGAGGACGUUCUCUUGGUAGAGGGGCUUUGGAAAGUCGGCCAUAUUGGAAUAGCAGAAGGAGAGCCUGUUAUCACGAGCGCACGUCGAUGGAGGAAGUGGGGCCUCUUUAGGAUAACUGGCCUGAACCGCCUCAUCUUGUUUGCACAUUACCUGGGUGUCUCCACGGAAACGCUGGCUCUGUGGUAUUAUGGAGACAAGCUCAGAGUUGUCAUGGCAGCAACCAAAAAGAAUGCCUGAAUAAAUGUGUUGAUUCGUAUUUGACCUUACAGAAGGUCAAGGUGACAUUGUGAUAGGAAGAACAGGUACCCUAGAACAGAUCUGGAUGAAGAGUUAGUGUUAAGUUCUAAUUCAUGAACAAAAUCUAUUGCAUGUAGACGUACUGAUAGAAUUAGCAUCCGAUACAUUGUCAGGUGUAACAAGCUUGUAUGGCAUAAACAACAUGUGUACAUAAAUGUUUUAUAAUUAGAACUGUUAGAUUUAUUUGAUAUUUUAUCUAUUUUUUGUAUAAUUUAAUGUUUUUAUGAAUAUAUGAAUAUAAGAUAUUGAAUUAGUUUAAAUUGUUUAUGCAUGUCAUUUUGUCUAAGAAAUGGUAAUUUUCUACAUUACAUUUUUUGUAAACAACUAUAAGACUCGAGCUUUGUUUACAUAACAACCAAUUCUUACCUCUGUAUCUUGCUUGUAACUUGAAUUUAACAUUCAAUAUUUUGGUCAAUCAUUUAAAAUGCACCAGUUAAACAUUUUAUACAUAAAAAAUAAAAAUGACAUUUUUGAUCUU
rnacentral:misc_RNA from 1 species